rnacentral:rRNA from 1 species
UACGGGGGGAGCAAGCGUUGUUCGGAUUUACUGGGCGUAAAGGGCGCGUAGGCGGCCACCGCAAGUCGACUGUGAAAUCUCCCGGCUUAACUGGGAGGGUGCGCCGAAAACUGGAAGGCUUGAGUAUGGGAGAGGUAAGCGGAAUUCCUGGUGUAGCGGUGAAAUGCGUAGAUAUCAGGAGGAACACCUGCGGUGUAGACGGCUUACUGGACCAUAACUGACGCUGAGGCACGAAAGCGUGGGUAGCAAACAGG